rnacentral:rRNA from 1 species
AACGAACGCUGGCGGCAUGCCUAACACAUGCAAGUCGAACGAGACCUUCGGGUCUAGUGGCGCACGGGUGCGUAACGCGUGGGAACCUGCACUUAGGUUCGGAAUAACUCCCCGAAUGGGGUGCUAAUACCGGAUAAUGUCUUCGGACCAAAGAUUUAUCGCCUUUGGUUGGGCCCGCGUUGGAUUAGCUAGUUGGAAGGGUAAAAGCCUACCAAGGCGACGAUCCAUAGCUGGUCUGAGAGGAUGAUCAGCCACACUGGACUGAGACACGGCCCAGACUCCUACGGGAGGCAGCAGUGGGGAAUAUUGGACAAUGGGCGAAAGCCUGAUCCAGCAAUGCCGCGUGAGUGAUGAAGGCCUUAGGGUUGUAAAGCUCUUUUACCCGGGAUGAUAAUGACAGUACCGGGAGAAUAAGCUCCGGCUAACUCCGUG